AAAAGUCCCCCUCCCCGCUGCCUGGUGGAGAGGGAGCGUGGUGGGAUCCACCUUCUGCCCCCGAGUCCCCCAGCCAGCCCGGGCCUCCCAGGGUCACCCUGGGGCUCUGAAGGGGGCUUCGGUCCCUGGUUGAAUGAAGGGCCACAGAAAAUGAAGCCGGCGCAACGACCGCAUAACCCUCAGUGGGCACCAGGACCCCGGAGCUCAGGGUGCUAAUGAUGGAGACAAUAGGAAGGAAAGAGACCUUCCUGGUCACAGGUGGGCCACAGGAGAACAGGCAGCAGCCCAGGAGGAUCCAGGGUCCUGAUGGUGGUUGAGAAGCUGGUUCUUAGUGAUCACACAGGAACAUCGGCCUGGCCUUGUGGGGUCAGACCUUGCAUCUCAGUCGGCUCAGGGAGAAGAAGAAGAUGGUCCACACCCAAGUGCAGGGAACAUCGUGGCAGUUGGCUGGGCACCCUCGUCCAGGCAAGGACACCUUCUGCAUCAAGGAAACACGCGUUUCCGGAGUGAGGAGGCUGAA
rnacentral:antisense_RNA from 1 species